rnacentral:lncRNA from 1 species
ACUCAUAUCUGGGCUUCUUUUAGUGAAAUGGAUGAGUCAGUAGCAGAGCCUGCCGUUGGAGGGAAAACAAGACACGGUUAACCCUCGGUGAUUCCAGGGUUUGUCACAUGUGUGCAGGUGGCAGCAGAGACUGGAGGAGGAGGAUGUUGGAUCUCCUGGAGAUGGAAUUGUAGACAGUUGCUUGUGAGCCACCUGAUGAGGUGCAAGGAAGCAGAGGAGCAAGAACAGCAAAGAGCGGAGACGUGUGUGAUGCACAGGCUCCCUGACAUGUGUCUCCCAGGAAGAUGUGUGUGACGCACAGGCUCCCUGACAUGUGUCUCCCAGGAAGACGUGUGUGACAAGCAAGCUACCUGACAUGUGUCUCCCAGGAAGACGUGUGUAAUGAGCAGGCUACCUGAGGGACAAGGCAACCUUGAGAGCAACUUUCCUCAAAGUGAAUCUGCUAUAAACUGAUGAUCAAUACAUGAAGAAUGACUAGGCACCAAAAAUAAAGCCACUCUUAACUUCUGGAAAAACAAAAGUUCUGCAGGAAAAGAAAC